UACAGAGGUGGCUAGCGUUGUUCGGAAUUACUGGGCGUAAAGGGAGCGCAGGCGGCCAGGUUAGUCUGAAGUGCAAGCCCGGGGCUCAACCCCGGAAUCGCUUUGGAUACUGCCAGGCUUGAGUAUGUCAGAGGUGAGCGGAAUUCCAGGUGUAGCGGUGAAAUGCGUAGAUAUCUGGAGGAACAUCCGUGGCGAAGGCGGCUCACUGGGACACAACUGACGCUGAGGCUCGAAAGCGUGGGGAGCGAACGGG
rnacentral:rRNA from 1 species